rnacentral:rRNA from 1 species
AUGAAGAAGACAAGCGGACGUAGUCGAACGAAUCCACACAAACGCGACGUUAUCGAAACUAACCCGAAGAAGCAACACCAAAAAGAAGCAAACAACAUAGUAAACAACCAUCACAAAACAUGGCAUGAUGCACAAACAAGUAUGAUGCAUGUCCGGUUUAAAUAUGCAUGGCAUGACAAAGUGCACAAACAAUCCUACAAAUUAAGUGGAGCUCAAUAUGCAACGAGUUGCAUAUUGACGAAACACCACGUGACUUAUUUAGUUCUCUCCCGUUUAUGUACUCAACCACAUUACAUGUUGAUUAACAUGGCAAGAGGUGAAGCAAAAGAAAACUACCUAUCUAGGCAAGUUUAA